UCCAGAGUCUUUGAUCACCUCUAGGUGAAGCUAAAUGUGGAAUGUCUUCUUCAUGGUGCCUUUGGUCCUGCUUCAUAGCCUUUGUUGCAUAAAUAACAGCUUGUUCCUCUCACUUUCCAUGUUCUUUGCCUCGAUUCAAUUAAGAAGAUAAUAACUAGAGCCUACUGUCCAGGAAUCAAGAUGGCAGAAGAGGAAGAUCCUAAGCUAACCUCCCAUGGACACACCAAAACCGCAACUACCUAUGGCACACCUGUCUCUGAAAACGACCUGAAGACAAGCAGAACAGGUCUUUCACAACUAAAGGUAGGCUUCUCCUGAGAAAUUUGGAUGGACGAUUUAAAGGAGGUAUGUUUCCAGGAAGACUUAGUGGCAAGACUGGAAAGAAGUCUUAGUGAAAUAUGGCAGAAGUCAUUAUAACGUGACCUUGAGUCUAUAACUCUGGAGGAAGUAGGUACGGGGUAGUGUUUUAGGGAAAGAUACUGAGGUGUUUCUAACACAAGCACAGGGGUAUGUGGCAAUGAUAGAACAUUACUAAAGUUUUCCUCUAGAAUGAGUCAUUGCCAAAUAUAAUUUGAAGCUUUAUGCAGCCUCAAGAAAAUAUCAAUUUCUAUGAUUUUUAUGAACUUGCACUUUAGAAAGGUUGGCAAAUUGAUAGACAAUGAAUAAAUGCAUUCAGUAUUCACAGUUGAAGUUUAUAUUGUGGCUUGAAUGUAGCUAGGUCUGAUACCAAAGUUAGGGACAUAUGGAUGUCUUUCUGACAGUCUGGUUUGUUAAAAACAAUACUGAUAUAAUUUGACUGAUAAUGAAGUAUUUGAGGCUUAAUUGGGAAGUAACUUUUGUAUUAUAGUUCAAGACUAGAUAGUAGUUUCUCAAAUCAAAUGUCUAAACACCCUAAAGAAAUGAAUUUCAUUGCAAAUCUGAAAUGAUGGCAUAUUAGAGUCCCUAACUUAAUUAGAGACAGAUGUACCUCUGGUCUAAUGAGCUCUAUACUGUUAAAUGGCAAUGGUAGCAUCUCCCUUCAUCAGUGUUCUCCAAAAUAUAAUCUUAUUAUUUGACCGAA